GAUGAACGCUGGCGGCGUGCCUAAUACAUGCAAGUCGAGCGAACAGAUAAGGAGCUUGCUCCUUUGACGUUAGCGGCGGACGGGUGAGUAACACGUGGGUAACCUACCUAUAAGACUGGAAUAACUCCGGGAAACCGGGGCUAAUGCCGGAUAGCAUUUAGAACCGCAUGGUUCUAAAGUGAAAGAUGGUUUUGCUAUCACUUAUAGAUGGACCCGCGCCGUAUUAGCUAGUUGGUAAGGUAACGGCUUACCAAGGCAACGAUACGUAGCCGACCUGAGAGGGUGAUCGGCCACACUGGAACUGAGACACGGUCCAGACUCCUACGGGAGGCAGCAGUAGGGAAUCUUCCGCAAUGGGCGAAAGCCUGACGGAGCAACGCCGCGUGAGUGAUGAAGGUCUUCGGAUCGUAAAACUCUGUUAUUAGGGAAGAACAAAUGUGUAAGUAACUGUGCACGUCUUGACGGUACCUAAUCAGAAAGCCACGGCUAACUACGUG
rnacentral:rRNA from 1 species